rnacentral:rRNA from 1 species
CUAGCCGUAAACGAUGGAUACUAGGCGUUGUGAGUAUCGACCCUCACAGUGUCGUAGCUAACGCGUUAAGUAUCCCGCCUGGGGAGUACGCGCGCAAGCGUGAAACUCAAAGGAAUUGACGGGGGCCCGCACAAGCGGUGGAGUAUGUGGUUUAAUUCGAUGCAACGCGAAGAACCUUACCAGGACUUGACAUGUCGCGAAUCUCAGGGAAACUUGAGAGUGCCUUCGUGAGCGCGAACACAGGUGGUGC